AAUACUCAAAACCAUACAUAUAAUAUGCAGAUUCAUAAAAAUCAUAAUUCUCACAGUAAAUAUCCAUCAAAUGAAACUCAAAUAUAAUUUAGCCAUCCUAAUUAAGUGCCAAGACUAAACUGCCCGUGAUCUAAAGUCAAGUCCAUCUAGUUCUUUGGAUCAUGCAACAAAGUAAAGCGGACAAGCAAAUGAAAUGACCGGACAUUUCUACCCUUGAUACAUGAAUUUGAAUUCUGCUAAACUAGUUCGUCGUCUGCGCCGUGAUCCAGCUGAUCGGUCACCACGGCCGUGAUCUGACAUCGUCUCUGCUCCAGCAUCUGGCUCAUCCCUCGCACUCCGGCAUGUGGUCGCCGAGCACCGCAUACCAUCUGCUCCAGCUCAGAGUAUCCACUUGCUUCCGCCCCAGCACCCCAUCGUUAAGCACCGCGUUGCCUCUACCACAAUAGAAUCAACCAACAACAGAGAGUGAGCAGUGAGUAGUGAAUCCAAGCAAAAAUAGAGAGUAAGCAAAUAAGCAAUGAUAAUGGCGUGCAUGAUUUCAGGCCAUAAUGUAGAUGAAAAUUGGCACUGACUUUGCGAUGCCUAAUUCAAGGGAAAGAAUAGUGCAAUACGAAUAUAAGGAGUUUCUUCAGAUAGAGCGAACAUCACAAAUUCACAAUGCAUAGUCGUACUCCACACAAAUAGUGAAAAACUUAGUUAGCAAGAUGAGUGUACCUUCAGUCAAAGAAAAAACAGUAAAAAAAGGGUACCUUCAGUGACCGUACCUCAUCCUUUAACUUACUGUUUUUCUGAACCAGUCUCGUAGGUGUCCUACAAAAUGCAGGUUUUUCAGAAAUAAAUAAGACUAGAUACAGAUAACAUAACCUCGCUGCUGAAUGGAUCCACAAAUAAAGCAUUGCUUGCCAAAAUCCAUGUACAGGACAAGCUGUUAUGAAACUAAGUUCAGAAAAAUAACGGUUGGUGUGACACAUAAAAGGAUCAAGGCUGCAAUUGUAUAUCAGCAGUUGCUACUUGUAAGAGUAGAUGAUCACAAAGACAACCUCCCUGUGCUAGCCACAGGUAUUUAGUUUAUAAAAGAGAGUACAUGGUAAGCACUUCCAUUUCAAAAAAAAAAACAUGGUAAGCAAUUCAAGGAUUUCAAGCUCCAGGAAAAAAUUUAACAGCAUGUCCAUCUCCAGCAGCAGCAUCAUAAUCCGACAAUGAGCUACAAAUGAAUCAAGAAAAUUUGAUCAUCUUCUAAAUAUGAUAAUUAUCUAACACAGGGAUAUCUAAACUGCCAUCAUUAACAUAGUAGUAAUAGAAACUAAUACACAUGGUUUGAAUAUAUGUUCACAUACAGGAGCUCAGCACACAUGAACCAGUCACAGAAACUAAUGUUAAAGGAAAAUAGAGUACCUAUUGAUUUCAUAUUUCGCUCAUAUGAACCCGCCGCCUGGGGCCUAACAUUGACCCAAUAACCUGUGAUGAUCUGUAACAGAAAGAAAAGAAAAUUUUCUUAGCACAGUUCACUGCAAAUGACAAUGUGCUAACAUAAAUUAUGUAAUACAGUGUUCAAAACAUAUCUAGAUAUCAUCCACCGAGCUGACUGUGUAUGACAGUCAUAAUCUAAAAUGAUGACUGGCAAAAAAACAAGAAUACUUCAAGUGUUAAGAUAUAUAGAUAUCAUAUAAAUUAAGAUGCUUGGCUGCAGCAUAUAAAUUAAAUCACAGACAUCUAGUGUACUAGUAGCAGCAGCCAACAAAAAAAGAUCCAUCAUAUGAAUCGAUCUUGCUUGUAUGUAUCGUCCGGCUAGAAGACACACAUGUUUGCAUAUGAAAUAUACUAACCAACACUGAUCAGCACUUGCAAUCAUAUUGUAUGUGGCUGAAAAGAAUCCCAAUCCAUCUCAUGGAAUUUUACUAGCAACUUCCGUGAUGCAUCACAUGCGAAGGGAUUGCAGCAUCCUGGGCAGGCAUGCAUCAAAUGCAUAGGCAUGGCUCAAGGCCCCGACGGCACUCGGCCAUAGGUCUUUGCCGGCCGGCUGGCCGAUC
rnacentral:lncRNA from 1 species